rnacentral:rRNA from 1 species
GACGAACGCUGGCGGCGUGCUUAACACAUGCAAGUCGAACGGAAAGGCCCUGCUUGCAGGGUACUCGAGUGGCGAACGGGUGAGUAACACGUGGGUGAUCUGCCCUGCACUUCGGGAUAAGCCUGGGAAACUGGGUCUAAUACCGGAUAGGAGCCAUUUUUAGUGUGAUGGUUGGAAAGUUUUUUCGGUGUAGGAUGAGCUCGCGGCCUAUCAGCUUGUUGGUGGGGUAAUGGCCUACCAAGGCGGCGACGGGUAGCCGGCCUGAGAGGGUGGACGGCCACAUUGGGACUGAGAUACGGCCCAGACUCCUACGGGAGGCAGCAGUGGGGAAUAAUGCACAAUGGGCGCAAGCCUGAUGCAGCGACGCCGCGUGGGGGAUGACGGCCUUCGGGUUGUAAACUCCUUUCGCUAGGGACGAAGCUUUUUGUGACGGUACCUAGAUAAGAAGCACCGGCUAACUACGUG